AGUAAAAAGCUCGCCUUGCUUUGUUACAAGAGAAUAAUGUCUAACGCCGCAAGCAAUUUGGUGGACAUCUAUAACUACGUUCGACUCUAGAAGUCGAGGAAUGGUAACAUCGGUUUUUGAUGGAAAUGCGUUUACGGAUCCAUCACUUGAACACACGUCGGAGCAUAUCUCUCCCCAAAGAAAAACGUCUCCUAAUGAUUCUAUGUCAUCAUAACCAGAAGUGUGAUUUGAACAACUAGGUGUGUUUGAAACACUAAUCCUGAAACCGUCUGCAACAUUGCUUGUUCUUAUUUGCAUGUUUUAUGCCGCAUUUGAGAACUUGGAUCGUACGCAGCGGUUAUGGUUGGAAUGUUGUCGGUGGUUGUUGGUCGGUGGGUUGAAACAGGGUUGUAUUCGUUGAUUUAAUUGUAGGUGAAAGAGAUAAGGAUGAAGAGGACGAAACGUUGAAAGCCAGAGUUUUGAUCGAAGAAGGU
rnacentral:lncRNA from 1 species